CCUUGAUGAUGACAAUCGCACGCGUCUUACGCCGUGUGUCGACGCCAGACCUGUAAAGGUGAACCCUCUGGUGUUGCCACGGCAACAAGGGGACAGCUUGUUGGGGUGUCCAACAGUCUGAAAGGA